rnacentral:rRNA from 1 species
UACCCGCAGCACAAGUGGUGGUCAUUAUUAUUGGGCCUAAAGCGUCCGUAGCUGGCUCGUUAGAUGCCUGGGUAAAUCGAUGCGCUCAACGUAUCGAACUCCGGGUAGACCGGCAAGCUUGGGACCGGGAGAGGCGUGAGCUACUCGAGGGGUAGGGGUAAAAUCCUGUAAUCCUUCGGGGAGGACCAGUGGCGAAGGCGUCACGCUAGAACGGCUCCGACAGUGAGGGACGAAGCCCUGGGGCGCAAACCGG